rnacentral:rRNA from 1 species
UGGGGAAUAUUGGACAAUGGGCGAAAGCCUGAUCCAGCCAUGCCGCGUGUGUGAAGAAGGCUUUCGGGUUGUAAAGCACUUUCAGUGAGGAAGAAAGCCUUGGGGCUAAUACCCCCAAGGGACGACAUCACUCACAGAAGAAGCACCGGCUAACUCCGUGCCAGCAGCCGCGGUAAUACGGAGGGUGCGAGCGUUAAUCGGAAUUACUGGGCGUAAAGCGCGCGUAGGCGGCGUGAUAAGCCGGUUGUGAAAGCCCCGGGCUCAACCUGGGAACGGCAUCCGGAACUGUCAGGCUAGAGUGCAGGAGAGGAAGGUAGAAUUCCCGGUGUAGCGGUGAAAUGCGUAGAGAUCGGGAGGAAUACCAGUGGCGAAGGCGGCCUUCUGGACUGACACUGACGCUGAGGUGCGAAAGCGUGGGUAGCAAACAGGAUUAGAUACCCUGGUAGUCCACGCCGUAAACGAUGUCGACUAGCCGUUGGGGUCCUUGAGACCUUUGUGGCGCAGUUAACGCGAUAAGUCGACCGCCUGGGGAGUACGGCCGCAA